rnacentral:misc_RNA from 1 species
GAUGAAGAACGCAGCGAAAUGCGAUAAGUAAUGUGAAUUGCAGAAUUCAGUGAAUCAUCGAAUCUUUGAACGCACAUUGCGCCCGCCAGUAUUCUGGCGGGCAUGCCUGUUCGAGCGUCAUUUCAACCCUCAAGCCCUCGGGUUUGGUGUUGGGGAUCGGCGAGCCUUUCUGGCAAGCCGGCCCCGAAAUCUAGUGGCGGUCUCGCUGCAGCCUCCAUUGCGUAGUAGUAAAACCCUCGCAACUGGAACGCGGCGCGGCCAAGCCGUUAAACCCCCAACUUCUGAAUGUUGACCUCGGAUCAGGUAGGAAUACCCGCUGAACUUAAGCAUAUCAAUAAGCGGAGGA